rnacentral:rRNA from 1 species
UGUUAGUGGAAGCGUCUGGAAAGGCGUGCGAUACAGGGUGACAGCCCCGUACACAAAAAUGCACAUAUUGUGAGCUUGAUGAGUAGGGCGGGACACGUGGUAUCCUGUCUGAAUAUGGGGGGACCAUCCUCCAAGGCUAAAUACUCCUGACUGACCGAUAGUGAACCAGUACCGUGAGGGAAAGGCGAAAAGAACCCCGGCGAGGGGAGUGAAAAAGAACCUGAAACCGUGUACGUACAAGCAGUGGGAGCACGCUUAGGCGUGUGACUGCGUACCUUUUGUAUAAUGGGUCAGCGACUUAUAUUCUGUAGCAAGGUUAACCGAAUAGGGGAGCCGAAGGGAAACCGAGUCUUAACUGGGCGUUAAGUUGCAGGGUAUAGACCCGAAACCCGGUGAUCUAGCCAUGGGCAGGUUGAAGGUUGGGUAACACUAACUGGAGGACCGAACCGACUAAUGUUGAAAAAUUAGCGGAUGACUUGUGGCUGGGGGUGAAAGGCCAAUCAAACCGGGAGAUAGCUGGUUCUCCCCGAAAGCUAUUUAGGUAGCGCCUCGUGAAUUCAUCUCCGGGGGUAGAGCACUGUUUCGGCA